ensembl:snRNA U6 U6 spliceosomal RNA
GUGCUUGCUUCGGCAGCACAUAUACUAAAAUUGGAAUGGUACAGAGAAGAUUAGCAUGGCCCCUGUGCAAGGAUGACAUGCAAAUUCGUGAAGCAUUCCAUAUUUUU